ensembl:lncRNA
AAUACAGCCUCUGCAUGACUAUGCAGUCGCACAGAAUUCUUAAAAGGAAACUGCUUGCAAGAUCAGGGCCUUUCCAGCAAUGUGAAAUUAAGAUGUUAGUAGGGGCUCAAAGAAAAGAGAUGACAUUUCUGUUGAGGGGAUUUGUACGCACAUGAUGCAGGUAAAGGAGUUACAGAACUUUAACUGCUGACAUACCCAGACUCAGAUCUGUGGUUCAGGCACAGAAUCCCUGCUUCUAGGGAUUUGGUGGAGGGAUGUGAAAACUGAGCAGUAGCAUCUGAGAUGUGAUUCAUAGGGGAUGCUGUAAAACGGUGCAUACUGCAGGAAUCUGAGAUGUUGGAGUGAGCCAGCCCUGGAUCUGCAAAGUAAUAAAGUUACUUAUACUGCUCCUUCUUCCAAUUUCUCCAGAUCUUUUAACAGUGAAGACACCAGAAUUAAAGAGCAUGGCAUUAAAGCUAUUUUUAGUCCUGAUGUUAUGUUCUUGCACAGCUUGCAAGCUUACAAUAUACCUGAAGAGUACUAGAUCUUAUGCACAGAGCAUGAUGUAAGAAAUUUGUUUCGGGUUGCUUCUUCACUGUGCAGCCUAGCUUCUUUCAGAGCUGCCUUUGCAUGUCUACCUGUAGACGUGAGCUCAUAUUUGACUAUCUGAAUGGUCCUAUUUAGAAGGUGUACAUCACAGCACAUCCAAGACAUCCCUAACUGACCACAGCUCAUCCAUCAGCUCUUGAGUCUGUCAACUGCUCUGAGUUUUAAGGCAAAGUGUCGCUGUUUUCAGCACACACAGUGGUGACGGCAUUCAGCAGGCCAACCUGUCUGUUUCUGAGCACUCGGUCCUCAACAGCAUUUGUAACUCUUUCAGGCUCUCUGUGCCACAGUUUCUAUUCAAACAGAUUUUGCAUUGAAUUUCUAAUCAUUAUAACAAACCCUAAAUAGCAGCAGUCCUACUUUUGGUUUCUGUGUGGUUAUCUACAAUUAUCUCCUCUGACUGAUGAUUCCAUUGGUGCCUGUCUCCACACAUCAGUCCCAUGCAGUGUGAGUCUUCUUGACAGACUACACGGCCAAGCAUCCAGAAAAGUAUCUGAGAACAAUGCAAAUAUAUUAUACCUGCACCAUCAUCUUCAUGAGCAACUUUCUAAUUUAACAAGAAAUAAAAUACACUUGACAAGUUCUUUUUCUAUAAAGUCACAUCAGCUGCUACUGCUGUACUCCUAUCUCAUAACUCGUUAUGUCCUGUACCAGCAUUUGUCAUCAGUUUUAUUUAUGACAGGUAAAUCGGUUAUUAUCUGUGUCUUCAGUUGUCCAAGUUGAAUACUUAUAGUCAGUUUUCAUGACUUCCUGGGAGACCAUAUGCAAGCUCCUUUAAUACUCUCAAAUUGAAGUUCUUUGGGACUCACAUACUUUAGAAUGUUUCUCUUUAAGUAAUGUUGUUCAGUGCUCAUACUAAUAACGCCAAGGAGGGUACUCAGUCAUUUUGAUAUGCUGUAAGUCCAUCAUAUGUUUUUUCAGUGAUAGGAUAAAACUGGUAUCUGUAUCUAUUUAGAUAUAUUGGCCUGCAAUACUGUUAAAAUUUAGAAAACUAGAGUUAUUCCUAAAAUUACUAAGCACACUUGUUCUCACCUAUUUUUCCAUGCUCAUAACUGUUCUUAUAAUGAUUGCUGUCUCUUCUACUUGUACAUCUUUACUUCUUCUCUCUACAUAAAUUAAAAUGUACUUAUUUA